rnacentral:rRNA from 1 species
GUUUAAUUGGAAUCUGGAAUGAAGGGUUGGACAAAGGAAAAACUGUUUCUGUAGUAUAAAUUGAAGUUUACUUUUAAGUGAAAAGGCUUAAAUAUAUCAAAGGGACGAUAAGACCCUAUAAAGCUUUAUAAAUUAUUUAAAUUUAGUUGAUUUAUAAGAUAAAGAAGAGGUUUAAUUGAAUUUAUUUUAUUGGGGUGAUGUGAAUAUAAUUUUUGUUAACUGUUUAAAAAAAGUACUAUAAUAAGAGAAUCUUAUAUAUGAUCCUUUUUAAAGAUUAAGAGACUAAGUUACUUUAGGGAUAACAGCGUUAUUUCUUUUGAGAGUUCAUAUCGAAAAAGAAGAUUGCGACCUCGAUGUUGAAUUAAAAUAUCUAUAUAAUGCAGCAGUUAUAAAAGAAGGUCUGUUCGACCUUUAAAUUUUUACGUGAUCUGAG